rnacentral:rRNA from 1 species
CCUACGGGGGGCAGCAGUGGGGAAUAUUGGACAAUGGGGGCAACCCUGAUCCAGCCAUGCCGCGUGUGUGAAGAAGGCCCUCGGGUUGUAAAGCACUUUCAGUGAGGAAGAACGCCUGGUGGUUAAUACCCAUCAGGAAAGACAUCACUCACAGAAGAAGCACCGGCUAACUCCGUGCCAGCAGCCGCGGUAAUACGGAGGGUGCGAGCGUUAAUCGGAAUUACUGGGCGUAAAGCGCGCGUAGGUGGCUUGAUAAGCCGGUUGUGAAAGCCCCGGGCUCAACCUGGGAACGGCAUCCGGAACUGUCUAGCUAGAGUGCAGGAGAGGAAGGUAGAAUUCCCGGUGUAGCGGUGAAAUGCGUAGAGAUCGGGAGGAAUACCAGUGGCGAAGGCGGCCUUCUGGACUGACACUGACACUGAGGUGCGAAAGCGUGGGUAGCAAACAGGAUUAGAUACCCUAGUAGUC